CAGAAAAGGGAAUGGUCGGGAUAGCUCAGCUGGUAGAGCAGAGGACUGAAAAUCCUCGUGUCAC
rnacentral:tRNA from 1 species